GAGAUCUCAGCUUCUUCAUAAGCUCCCACACGAAUUGCUUGAUUCACUGGUUAGACGAUUGGGUCUGUAGCUCAGUUGGUUAGAGCGCACCCCUGAUAAGGGUGAGGUCGGCAGUUCGAAUCUGCCCAGACCCACCAAUUGUUGGUGUGCUGCGUGAUCCGAUACGGGGCCAUAGCUCAGCUGGGAGAGCGCCUGCUUUGCACGCAGGAGGUCAGGAGUUCGAUCCUCCUUGGCUCCACCAUCUAAAACAAUCGUCGAAAGCUCAGAAAUGAAUGUUCGUAGAUGAACAUUGAUUUCUGGUCUUUGCACCAGAACUGUUCUUUAAAAAUUCGGGUAUGUGAUAGAAGUAAGACUGAAUGAUCUCUUUCACUGGUGAUCAUUCAAGUCAAGGUAAAAUUUGCGAGUUCAAGCGCGAAUUUUCGGCGAAUGUCGUCUUCACAGUAUAACCAGAUUGCUUGGGGUA
rnacentral:tRNA from 1 species